rnacentral:rRNA from 1 species
UACGGAGGGUGCAAGCGUUGUUCGGAAUUACUGGGCGUAAAGCGCGUGUAGGCGGUUGCUUAAGUCUGGCGUGAAAGCCCGGGGCUCACCCCCGGAAGUGCGUUGGAAACUGAGCGACUCGAGUGCCGGAGAGGAGGGUGGAAUUCCUGGUGUAGCGGUGAAAUGCGUAGAUAUCAGGAGGAACACCGGUGGCGAAGGCGGCCCUCUGGACGGAUACUGACGCUGAGACGCGAAAGCGUGGGGAGCAAACAGG